UGGCGGGUCCCUAAAUUGGUUGAAGAGAAUGCAGGUGAAAGAUCUUUAGUUUUGCUGGUAGAUGUAGCCAUUAUUGAACAGUCAAAAUGAUUGUUUCCAGCAGCAACUUGAUGAGGCAGAAGGCUCUGUUUUCUUACCACCACUAACAUUAAACUACAGUGCACAAGAGGCUUGUUCAACAUGACUGAGAAAUAACCAUUUUGCCAUUCCUUGAUCUGCAAUUAAUAUAACAGAAGUGCCUUUCAUCUCAAAAUGCUGUGUGUCAAUGAGCACCAUCACAACUUUGAUGAAC